GUGAGGAAUAUUGGUCAAUGGGCGGAAGCCUGAACCAGCCAAGUAGCGUGCAGGAUGACGGCCCUAUGGGUUGUAAACUGCUUUUAUACGGGGAUAAAGUCAGCCACGUGUGGUUGAUUGCAGGUACCGUAUGAAUAAGGACCGGCUAAUUCCGUGCCAGCAGCCGCGGUAAUACGGAAGGUCCGGGCGUUAUCCGGAUUUAUUGGGUUUAAAGGGAGCGCAGGCCGGAAGCAAAGCGUGCCGUGAAAUGUAGAUGCUCAACAUCUGAAUUGCGGCGCGAACUGGUUUUCUUGAGUGCAUACGAGGUAGGCGGAAUUUGUGGUGUAGCGGUGAAAUGCUUAGAUAUCACGAAGAACUCCGAUUGCGAAGGCAGCCUACCAGGAUGUAACUGACGCUAAAGCUCGAAAGUGCGGGUAUCGAACAGGAUUAGAAACCCGGGUAGUCC
rnacentral:rRNA from 1 species